rnacentral:rRNA from 1 species
GUCCACGCUGUAAACGGUGGGUACUAGGUGUGGGGUCCAUUCCACGGGUUCCGCGCCGUAGCUAACGCUUUAAGUACCCCGCCUGGGGAGUACGGCCGCAAGGCUAAAACUCAAAGGAAUUGACGGGGCCCCGCACAAGCGGCGGAGCAUGCGGAUUAAUUCGAUGCAACGCGUAGAACCUUACCUGGGUUUGACAUGGAUCGGGAGUGCUCAGAGAUGGGUGUGCCUCUUUUGGGGUCGGUUCACAGGUGGUGCAUGGCU